rnacentral:lncRNA from 1 species
ACUCCUUAAGUGUGUGACCCCAUGGGUUCUAUUUUAUCUGAUAGUGAGUCAUGUUAUGAUCUCCAUCACAAUAUUAUCAAAACUUCUUUCAAUGGAUUAGAAUACUUUCAAUUCUUUCCAACAAAGAAUCAUUCAAUUAUCUAUCUGAUUUUCUUUGAGCCCCACAAUCUAUCAGUGACACCUAACAGUAUAUAGUGAUAGACCAGC